UGAUCAUAAUAACUUAACGAAUCGCAUGGCCUUGCGCCGGCGAUGGUUCAUUCAAAUUUCUGCCCUAUCAACUUUCGAUGGUAGGAUAGUGGCCUACCAUGGUGGCAACGGGUAACGGGGAAUUAGGGUUCGAUUCCGGAGAGGGAGCCUGAGAAACGGCUACCACAUCCAAGGAAGGCAGCAGGCGCGCAAAUUACCCAAUCCCGAUACGGGGAGGUAGUGACAAUAAAUACUGAUACGGGGCUCUUUUGGGUCUCGUAAUUGGAAUGAGAACAAUUUAAAUCCCUUAACGAGGAACAAUUGGAGGGCAAGUCUGGUGCCAGCAGCCGCGGUAAUUCCAGCUCCAAUAGCGUAUAUUAAAGUUGUUGCAGUUAAAAAGCUCGUAGUUGAACCUUGGGUCUGGCUGGCCGGUCCGCCUCACCGCGAGUACUGGUCCGGCUGGACCUUUCCUUCUGGGGAACCUCAUGGCCUUCACUGGCUGUGGGGGGAACCAGGACUUUUACUGUGAAAAAAUUAGAGUGUUCAAAGCAGGCCUUUGCUCGAAUACAUUAGCAUGGAAUAAUAGAAUAGGACGUGUGGUUCUAUUUUGUUGGUUUCUAGGACCGCCGUAAUGAUUAAUAGGGAUAGUCGGGGGCGUCAGUAUUCAGCUGUCAGAGGUGAAAUUCUUGGAUUUACUG
rnacentral:rRNA from 1 species